rnacentral:rRNA from 1 species
GAUGAACGCUGGCGGCGUGCUUAACACAUGCAAGUCGAACGAAGCACUUGAGAUCUUCGGAUGGAUAGUGACUGAGUGGCGGACGGGUGAGUAACGCGUGGGUAACCUGCCUCAUACAGGGGGAUAACAGUUAGAAAUGACUGCUAAUACCGCAUAAGCGCACAGUGUCGCAUGACACAGUGUGAAAAACUCCGGUGGUACGAGAUGGACCCGCGUCUGAUUAGCUAGUUGGUGAGGUAACGGCCCACCAAGGCGACGAUCAGUAGCCGGCCUGAGAGGGUGACCGGCCACAUUGGGACUGAGACACGGCCCAAACUCCUACGGGAGGCAGCAGUGGGGAAUAUUGGGCAAUGGGCGCAAGCCUGACCCAGCAAUGCCGCGUGAAGGAUGAAGGUUUUCGGAUUGUAAACUUCUUUUAAGAGGGACGAUAAUGACGGUACCUCUUGAAUAAGCCACGGCUAACUACGUG